UUGUCAUCAACAUGCAUUAUAAUGCAAGUCUUACAAAACUGUUCUGCUCUAAAUGAAAGCCAUUUUACACAGUGCAGAAAAUGUAUUUGCCUCAAUAUGUCUCCAUUUUUUGUUAAAUCUAUACAAUUCAUGAUGUCACACCUCACUGCUCACAUUUAUUUAAUUGCCCCGAGGAAACUAUUCCAACGAGCCAUUAGUCAAACAUAAUGAAUUGUCAGAUUUUAUUAAAGGAAGUGGUAACGGAGACCCUCAGAGGUUAUGUUGUUUACAGGCGGAUAUCCGUGUACAUUCAAUUACAUUCUGAUGGAAAACAGGAAGGCUUUGCCUAAUGAAGCCUCGAAUCUUGUCGGGCUCCUGCUUAAAUGAAUUAUAACAACAAGACAAAAAAAAGGCAGCAAUCAAAGAUGGGCUUCUUGUGGAUUGUAAUGCUGCACACGUGUGUGUGUGUGUGUGUGUGUGUGUGUGUGUGUAUGGUUGUGCUGUCUUGUCAGUAUUUAAGUGUAAUUCAGAACAAUCUUUUCCUGAUUGCACACACUUGAUGUGAAUGCAGAAACAGACACAAUGGGACUGAAAGCUUUUUUGAAACCACUUUGCAAUUGAUGAUUAGAUCUAUAUGUAAACUGAAUGUUCAAAGAAAAUAUUGUUCUGCUUGCUUUCACACUUCGGGCCUUAUAGCGUACUUGCCUGUCCAUCUGAGCGUCUUGUGCCGCACAGGGACAUUUCAUGUCUUUAGCUUUUUGUCAUUUACAGCCCUCAAUCAUGUUGAAAACACAUAUUGUUGGAGACCACGCUUAUCAGUGGUACAGAUUACUAGGUUACUAUACACAAACACUCUUAACUUGUCACUACAUCGACAAAUGCAAAAAGCAUAGAAAAACAAAAUAUGUAAACAGGAUCUGUCCGAUUUAAGCUCAAACUGGACUCAGAAACCAGAGUGUCGACUGUAUACUGAGCAGAGAGCAGAUAAGCAGCUAGAGAAGAUAACCUUUCAAAUAUCACCAGGUGCACUGGCAGAGAGGCCAAGGUGAGUUCAAUAGGAUCUUACAGUAUUUGUUUGUUUCUUGAACAGAUGCUCUGGAGGGGUAAAUGGCUGUCAAGUGGAAGUCCAAGGCGAAUGGGUGAGCAGCAGUGAGAAGUGAGCAGGUUUUUUGUCCCCUUCGUCGUGUCCCUGGAGUGAGGUGAGCAAGAGUUUCCCGUCAAACCGUGAGAGUGUGCGUGGGUCGUGAGGAUUGGAUGUUUGGACUGCCCUCUGACCUCUGGAUCUCCCCCAGAUUAACCCUCUUCUGUGUGGCCUGUGAUUUUCUCUUCUCUGUAAAUAAACAGAAAGGACAGAUUCUAAAAGUCUACAGUGAGCUAUGUAGCUAAGCCUGGCAUAGCUAGCAAACAUCUAUACACACGGGCUGUUUGUUGUGAACACAUGCAUAAGGGGGAAAAUAUUUUGUUACAUGUGUUACUGAAACGAAACAUUUAACAUUAGUAAAUCUGUACUGUCGUGCAGGAUGUAAACUGUGGGAUCAAAGUGAAAUAAAAUCACAAAGGAGGGCCACAGGAUGACCACCACCACUCUCAAUCACUUUAUCUUUUUAUAGAAC